rnacentral:rRNA from 1 species
AACGAACGCUGGCGGCAUGCCUAACACAUGCAAGUCGAACGAAGGCUUCGGCCUUAGUGGCGCACGGGUGCGUAACGCGUGGGAAUCUGCCCUUUGGUUCGGAAUAACAGCUGGAAACGGCUGCUAAUACCGGAUGAUGACGAAUGUCCAAAGAUUUAUCGCCAGAGGAUGAGCCCGCGUUGGAUUAGGUAGUUGGUGGGGUAAAGGCCUACCAAGCCGACGAUCCAUAGCUGGUCUGAGAGGAUGAUCAGCCACACUGGGACUGAGACACGGCCCAGACUCCUACGGGAGGCAGCAGUGGGGAAUAUUGGACAAUGGGCGCAAGCCUGAUCCAGCAAUGCCGCGUGAGUGAUGAAGGCCCUAGGGUUGUAAAGCUCUUUUACCCGGGAAGAUAAUGACUGUACCGGGAGAAUAAGCCCCGGCUAACUCCGUG